UACGUAGGGUGCAAGCGUUAAUCGGAAUUACUGGGCGUAAAGCGUACGCAGGCGGCUUUGCAAGACAGGUGUGAAAUCCCCGGGCCUAACCUGGGAACUGCAUUUGUGACUGCAUAGCUAGAGUCUGUCAGAGGGGGGUGGAAUUCCACGUGUAGCAGUGAAAUGCGUAGAGAUGUGGAAGAACACCGAUGGCGAAGGCAGCCCCCUGGGAUGAGACUGACGCCCAUGUACGAAAGCGUGGGGAGCAAACAGG
rnacentral:rRNA from 1 species